AUUGAACGCUGGCGGCAUGCUUUACACAUGCAAGUCGAGCGGCAGCGCGGGGGCAACCCUGGCGGCGAGCGGCGAACGGGUGAGUAAUGCAUCGGAACGUACCCUGGAGUGGGGGAUAACGCCGCGAAAGCGGCGCUAAUACCGCAUAUGCUCUGAGGAGGAAAGUGGGGGGACCGCAAGGCCUCACGCUCUGGGAGCGGCCGAUGUCCGAUUAGCUAGUUGGUGAGGUAAAAGGCUUACCAAGGCGACGAUCGGUAGCUGGUCUGAGAGGAUGAUCAGCCACACUGGGACUGAGACACGGCCCAGACUCCUACGGGAGGCAGCAGUGGGGAAUUUUGGACAAUGGGGGCAA
rnacentral:rRNA from 1 species